rnacentral:tRNA from 1 species
GGGCCGUUAGCUCAAUAGUAGAGUACUGCAUUGACAUUGCAGGGGUAGUUGGAGCGUACACUCAUAAUGUAUUGGUCCCAGGUUCGAGUCCUGGCGGGCCCACCA